UGGGGAAUUUUCCGCGAUGGGCGCAAGCCUGACGGAGCAAUACCGCGUGAGGGAGGAAGGCUUUUGGGUUGUAAACCUCUUUUCUCAAGGAAGAAGCACUGACGGUACUUGAGGAAUCAGCAUCGGCUAACUCCGUGCCAGCAGCCGCGGUAAUACGGAGGAUGCAAGCGUUAUCCGGAAUUAUUGGGCGUAAAGCGUCCGCAGGUGGUACAUCAAGUCUGCUGUCAAAGACUAGGGCUUAACCCUGGAGCGGCAGUGGAAACUGAUGAACUAGAGUACGGUAGGGGUAGAGGGAAUUCCCAGUGUAGCGGUGAAAUGCGUAGAGAUUGGGAAGAACACCAGUGGCGAAGGCGCUCUACUGGACCUGUACCGACACUCAGGGACGAAAGCUAGGGGAGCGAAAGGGAUUAGAUACCCCCGUAGUCC
rnacentral:rRNA from 1 species